CGUGCAGGUACCUGUCACUUCUGAGUGACAACAGAGGGGGCCCAGGGUGUGGACUGCUCCACACACGCCCAGCACUCGCCCCGGGGCGGGCGCCCUGCAGCGAGGGGCGGCGAGGGGACCAGGGGACGCUCACAGGGGCAGACCAUGGGGAUCCGGCUCCAAGCGACACCUGGUGGCAAAGACAGGAUCAGGACUUUCUUACAAGAGGCCGAGGAUGGAAGUGGUUCGGGUCACAGUGCUUCAUGUAAAUACGUGUCACUGGAAUGAACAAGUCGUCGCUGAAACACUCAGAUCUUAGUGUCCACGUCUGCGUUUGACACGUGCGUGUGCAUCUGCCACUGCCGGACGGAGCCGUGUCCAUUCAGCUCCCCUCCCCCCGCGCCCCCCCACAGGGACCCCGUUUCCUUCCCCCGGGUGGGCUUGGCCUGUUGCUGACAUCGAGCCCUGAGCAGCCCCCAGGGCACAGAUCCUGCGCGGUUUUGCCCGCUUUCCGGCCUUUGGACGCCUCCGGCCUGGAGCUGGCGGAGGUAAGUGGCCCCGACACGUCCACGAGUGCGUGUGUGUACGUGUGCAGGGAGAGCUCUCAUCCUCCCCGCUCUGGGAGAACGUGUGCCCCUGGAAGGCCUUCCGGCCCCGCAGCAGGGCCUGGCACCCGGGCUGCGCACCCCCCCCACUGCCCUGUCCUCAGGGGCCUUGCGCACAAGGCUGACUCCGGGCCUGGGCCACGUCCCCCCACUCGAGGGCUGCGCCUGGGGGGCUGCAUGUGGCCCUGUGGUCUGUGGACACGUGGACGCUUGGUCUCCCGCCCUGUGGGCAGGGCCAGCAUCACCCAGACACGCCUGCCAGGACCAGGGCCCCGUCUCCUGACCUCAGUGACCCCAAGGCAGGCAGGCCCCCCACGCCCCCCAGCAGCAGGAGAACACCCUGGUGAGCCCCCGUGCAGACGGGCCCCACAGCCCCCGCUGUGGACAGAUCCCCAGUGGGGUCCUGAUUGGGGUAAACCCCGCAGGCGGCUGCUGGCCCCUCCGAACGAGGCCCUGGGCGCUGCCCUUGCUGCUGAGGCCC
rnacentral:lncRNA from 1 species